GGUCAAAUAGCGCAAUGGUAGCGUGUUACUUUCCGGUUAACAUCCUUGGUAAAGGUUCUGGGUUCGAGUCCCAGUUUGAUCG